UGAGGAGGCAGGAGGAUGAGGAGGUGAAAGCCAUCUUUGGCCACAUAGGGAGUCUGUUUUGUGUUGCUUUUUGUUUUCCGAGGCAGGGUUUCUCUGUGUAGCUCUGGCUGUCCUGGAUCUCACUCUGUAGCCCAGGCUGGCCUCGAACUCACAGAGAUCCUCCCGCCUCUGCCUCCUGAGUGCUGGGAUUAAAGGCGUGCGCCACCACUGCCCGGCUAUAUAGGGAGUUCGAGGCCAACUUGGCAUACAGAGACCCUGUCUCAAAAGAAAAAGAAACUUUGUGGGCCUCUAUCUAGACAAACAUCUCGGUGGAUGUCAGCAGAACACAGGAGGAGCAAAGCGGAACCUUCAGUACAUCCACCAUGAAGCUUCCCCUCUGGAAGGGAAGCUGGCAUGGGGGUGCACAACUGUCAUCCCAGCACUCAGGAGGCUGAGGCUACCCUGAGCUGCAUAGGGAGACUGUCUCAACAGAAGCGGGGAGCAAGGAAUCGAGCUAGAAGAGGAAGUAACCAGAAACGACUGCCACUUCCUUCCAACCCCAUCUUGGCAGCUGGUGGCACAGCCUCCAUCCAUCAGUCUGCCGCUGACUUAUGUCUCAUCAAUUAAUUUAUUUUGGAGUCCUGCUUGUUGCCGAGGCUAGCCCCAAACUCCAGGCUUUGAGACAUACUGCAGCUUCCCCAUUCCCCAAGUGCUGGGACCGUGUAUACACACGGCCGCACCCAGCUUAUUCUGUAAUUUUGUAUUAUUUAUUUACUUAGGUUGUUUGGGGGACAGGGACUCACAUAGCCCAGGCUAGCCUCAAACUCACUAUAUAACCAAGUAUGACCUUACACUCCUGACCCUCCAGCCGCCACCUUCCAAGUGCUGGGAUUCCAGCCAUGUGCCACCAUGACCACCUCCCAGGUAAAAUAAAAUAAAAAGAUCAACGCAUACAUGCUUUCACCCAGUGACUCCAACUCUAGACUUUUCAGCCCACCAGCCCUGUGCCACGUGGGCAGAUUCCCCGUGGGUGAGGAGAAAUCAGCCGAGGCACCUACCGUCCUGUCCCCUCCCAGCACGGGACCCACCACAGCCCUCCUCUUGCAGCGACUGCCUCAGUUUCUCCUGAGGGGUUCCAGCGCUGACGGUGCCGACACAGGACCAGUGAGUUCCACAGUCACAGAGUGACGGCUGAAUUCACUGUAGCCAAAUAAAUAGCUUUGCAGCCCAAGUAGAUCCCCUCAUGCGGACACGCAGACACUAAGCUCUGCCCGUGCUCUCUCCAAGUUUACACUAAACUGGCUGCCCUCUGCGCUGGAGAAGCUGAACACACACGGCCCGUGGGAGAAAGCGGCCCACAGUAGUAAUGGGUAUGAAGUAGUAAAACGAGACAAGUUAUUUUUAUGAAUUUAUAUGAUACGAUUUCCAAAGGCUGCUGCUCAGAGACAAGAGGGAAGGGGGAGUCAUCACGAGGACAUUCGUGUGACUCGACGUGCAGGAACACGGGGGUGCGUGCUCACCCACAGUUUGCAUCCCCAAGUACAUGGACUCAGCAGUCAGGCUGCCUCCAGGCAGAGGACCAGGAUGCCACUGACACUCUAAAGUGACAAUACAUCACCCCUCACAGGCCACGUGAUGAUUUUGCCAGUACAAUAUCAGCAAGGGGACAGGGUCUCAGAAGCACGGGGACCUCAGAUGAAUCCCUGGCAGUCAUCUAAGGUGACAUGACUGUCCAAGAUGCAAGGCCAGGAGCUGGAUGAAGUGCCUUGUCCCAGCCAGGCUGCUCGCGUGCAAAAGGGUACAGAGAGGGCACUCAGGACCCGCCCGGCACAAAACCGCCAGGAAGGGGAGUCUGCGCUCACAUCUCUGGGCCCUGUGGGAGCAGGACAGGAGGAGCCGGGCAGAUGGAUCGGCACUGCCAGGCCAGAAGUGGGAGCCAGAAUAUGGCUGGAAAGCCAAGGCCACAGACCCCUGCUGUGAUGGUGCUACAGGAUUCAUUCACUCUGAGUGGAAGAGUAUUUCUAAGGACAGCAGUCACCAGAUUCGGGACUUAGCCUUCCUGGCCCAAGCCCAUCUCCACUGACUACAUCUGCAGAGACACUGUGCCCAUGUCUGGCUACAUCCUGGGGUACCAAGUUGGCAUGAAUUUGGAGGGGCACCUUCACCCCAGUACAAAUGCCCACAACCUGGGUGCUUGACGGAGUCGCUGGGUUAGCCAAUGCAAGCCGCCCACCCAGGACCUCUGUCUUCUGACACGCCCCUCCUGGUGUGAGCCGCUCCAACGGGGCUGACAGUGACCACUCCUGAGAAAGUCUCAGGUGGCCCUCUGCUUCCCUGAGUUCUGCAGCUCAGAAAACAUCCCAUGUGGUGACACCAGUUCCCAGAUAAAUCUAGAUAGCCGGGGUUUGGCCUCAGCUCAUCCGCAGGGUCCCUUCUGCCACAGGCUGUGGUCACAGGGACCCAAUGAGGGGGGUCAUCAGUCUACUGGCCACAGAGACACAUGAGAGCACGGAAGGGCCGGGUCCUGCAGGCAGAGCCUCUGACUGAUGCUUGACAGCAACUACCCGUAAAUAAGGGUGGCACCGCCUCCCUCAGGGGCCAGAGUCCCGCUCAGAAGGAUCCUUGUGAUCAUCUCCCUGCCCCCUGCUCUGACCUUCCCGUUGUCAACCAGGAGGCCGGCCUGGCUCCCCGUAUUCACAUUGUCAAGGCUCAAGCUUGGGGACCAGGUAAGUGCCUUGGCUGCUUCACCCCACACGCCUUUCUGCCCUGUCCAUUUCUCACAUGGACACCAUUCUGCAUAACCCCCAGUCACCCAGGUCUGAGCCACGUCAGCUCUCCCCACACCUCCCAUGUCCCCCUCGAAUCCCUGUAGCCCCCUCUGUGCCCCAUGAUGCUGUUCUGACAACGUCCCUGAAAAGAUCCUUUGGAAACCCCAAGCUCCACCUUCUCCAAGUCUCCCACUGCUACUGGAAAAUUCCAGACCUGCCCCCUGCCACAGGGCCUUUGCACUGGUUGUGUCCUGCCAGAAGAGUCUCCUGUGCCGGGGGUUUCCACAGUUUCAGGUCUCAGCACUUCAGAGACGUCUUCCAAACCACUGUGACUGGAGAAGUUACAACUCGCACCGACGUCAUCCGAUUUUACCAUCCCUGCUCCUUCCCACGGGCUGUCUUCUGGUGUCUUUAUUAUCUGUGUCUCCUACUGCAAUCCAAGACUUGGCAGACAGGGACCAGAGAUUCCCCACAUCCUCUACAAGGUCACUAUUCCACGGGGGCUGAUCUAAACCCCACGCUGCUCACACCCCAACAUCUGGAGCCCCAACAACGACAGUUUCUGAACUCUCAACACAUAUACCCACCAGACAGGACAGGGCCCUGGAGGAACUGGGUGUGAGGCAGCUGAAUGAAUGGGAUGCUCUCUCACAGUGUGACACCAGAACCCAGCUGAACAUCAAACCAGACACGGGAGAAAGGGGACGGAAGCCAGAACGUGGGCACCAGCUACAGAGGGCACUCAGAUCCCGAAUUGCACGGGCCGAGGAGCCAGAGGGAGAUCCAAACGCGGCCUGGGCGCUGCGCGGACCCAGAGCCACAGCCGGCGCCAGGCAGGCACCUGGAGGCUUCAGUGUCAAGGCCGAAGCACUGGAGGGCUAUCCGUCAUCCGAGCUGCUGCAGCCAGGGAGCACAGGCGAGGAAGACAGCAGGACCGUUAUCACUCCAUUCUGGAGGCUGGUCUGUGCAGACGGCGCUCCCUCUGAGGCUCCAGAGGGUCCCCGUCCUCUCCCAGCAUCUGGGGGCUCCCAGGAAUCGCCAGUGGCCCUUGGCUCGAGACCUUUACCUGUGGUUCUAGCCUCUAGCUCUUCUUAUGACAGGGUCUCGAAUAGCCCAGGCUAUCUCAAACUCGCCCUCUAGCAAAGGAUAACAUUGAAUUCCUGAUCCCCUGCCUCCACCUCCCAAGUACUGGGAUGACAGGUGUAGGCCAUCAUACCUGGCCCCUUGUGUCUCGGCUUUGGGCCUCAGUCACUGCAGGAGGGCCCACCCUGCUCCAGAGAAAGCUCACCUGAAUCCACAACACCCAUAACAAACCUACUUCCUUCUUUUCUGUGUUUGGUUGUUGUGAGACAGAUCUGGAACCCACGAUGCAGACCAGGUUGGCCUCAAACUCACAGAUUCUCCAUCCUCAGCUUCCCCGGUGCAGGGAUUAACGGCGUUCAUCAUCAUG